rnacentral:rRNA from 1 species
GAUUAACGCUGGCGGCAUGCCUUAUGCAUGCAAGUCGAGCGAGAACCAGGGCUUCGGCCCUGGGGACAGCGGCGAACGGGUGAGUAACACGUGGGUAAUCAACCCUCGACACUGGGAUAGCCCGGGGAAACCCGGAUUAAUACCGGAUACCCCGUCCGGCCUUCGGGCCGGCCGGAAAAGGUAGCUUCGGCCUCCGGUCGGGGCCGGGCCCGCGGCGGAUUAGCUUGUUGGCGGGGUAAUGGCCCACCAAGGCGACGAUCCGUAGCUGGUCUGAGAGGACGAUCAGCCACACUGGGACUGAGACACGGCCCAGACUCCUACGGGAGGCAGCAGUAGGGAAUCUUGCGCAAUGGGCGAAAGCCUGACGCAGCGACGCCGCGUGAGGGAAGAAGGCCUUCGGGUUGUAAACCUCUUUCAGGAGGGACGAAGCCACUCGGGUUAAUAGCCCAGAGGGUGACGGUACCUCCAGAAGAAGCCCCGGCUAACUACGUGCCAGCCGCCGCCGUAA